GGAAAAAUGAAAGACCUGUAUCAAGUACUAAAAAGCAAAGACAAGCCCUUAUGCCUUAUGCAUAAUGUAUUCACCAGAAAUAACUUUACACAGAGAACUAUAGCCAAGUCCGCCGAAACCAGACGGGCUAACCAAGAACGGCUGAAAGAGCACACUCACCUAUGUGGCAAAAUUGUGGGAAGAUUCAUGAGUAGCGGUAAUAAGCCUACCAAGCCUGGUGAUAGCUGGUUGUCCAAGAUAGAAUCUUAGUUCAACUUUAAACUUACCCACAGAAUUACUUAAUCUCCCUGCAAGCUUAACUGUGAGUCUAAAGAGGGACAGCUCUUUAGACCCUAUGAAACAACCUUCCUACAGAGAGUGAAAAAUAUUACUACCAUAAUUGGCCCAAAAGCAGCCACCAAUUAAGAAAGUGUUUGAGCUCAAUAUCUAACUAUCUUAAAUUCUAAUUACUCUACUGAACUUCUAACAUUAUAUUGGACUAAUCUGUUACUUAAUAGAAGCAGUAAUGUGAUUAUGAGUCACAUAAAGACAUUCUCCAUUGCAUAAGCUUACAUCAGACCAGAAUAACCCACUGACACUUAACAGCCUAAUAUUAAUAAACGAUAUAAUAAGCACGCUAUUAUUUAUACUGUUAACCCAACACAAGUAUGCUCUAAGGAAAGAUCACAAAAAGUAAAAGGAACUCGGUAAAUCAUACCGCUCCUGUUUACCAAAAACAUCACCUCUAGCAUUACCAGUAUUAGAGGCAGUGCCUGCCCAGUGACAUAUGUUUAACGGCCGUGGUAUCCUGACCGUGCAAAGGUAGCAAAAUCACUUGUUCCCUAAAUAGGGACUGGUAUGAAUGGCCACACGAGGGUUCAGCUGUCUCUUACUUUUAAUCGGUGAAAUUGACCUAUCUGUGAAGAGGCGAAUAUAAACAAAUAAGACCAGAAGACCCUAUGGAGCUUUAAUUCACUAAUGCAAAUAACUCAAGCCUACAGGCCCUAGCCUACUAUCCCUGCAUUAAAACUUUUGUUUGGGGUGACCUUGGAGCAUAAUUCAACUCCAAACAAUCUAAACUAAGAUCGCAAAACGCGCUAGUCUAAGUGAAUUAAUGCACAUUGACCCAAUAAUUUGAUCAACGGAAUAAAUUACCCUAGGGAUAAGAGCGCAAACCUAUUCUAGAGUCCAUAUCGACAAUAGGGUUUACGACCUCAAUGUUGGAUCAGAACAUCCUAAUGGUGUAGCCGCUAUCAAUGGUUUGUUGUUCAACAAUUAAAGUCCUACAUGAUCUGAGUUCAGGCUGGAGUAAUCCAGGUUAGUUUCUAUCUAUUAAUAUUUCUCCUA
rnacentral:rRNA from 1 species